ACACAAAACUAGCAAAGGUGAAAACGUAACACUGGUUCACCCAGGGCGAGGCUAGGCCAUUGCACUCCGGCUGUGCUGACCCCUGCGAAUUCCCCAAAUGUGGGAAUCUCGACUGCAUAAUUUCUGGUAGUGGGGGACUGCGUUUGCACUGACUUGUA